AUGAGAGGAUUACCGCCUCCCAUCUCAAAAGGAUUACGUGAUACAUGCACGAGUUCAGCAAAGUGUUGGCAGGGCAUUUGGCAAAGUAUAAUUUUUUGGGGCUGUUUUAAUUGUUUCCUCCAGAAUUCGCUCAAUCAAACCUUUAUUUAAAAUGAAAGAAAACAACAACUUUGCUGCAGCAACUGACAUUAGUACUUUGUCUUAGGGGCAAGUGGAGCAGUCUCCCUCCAGAUCCCGCAGAUGUCACUGAAUUAAACACCUGCGAGUCGAAUGUCCUUUACGAUUGCAACAAAGAAAAUUAAAGGUUAUGCAUCCAGCAGACGUGUGACUCCCAUUCCAGUACGCAGUGCAGACAAAAAAGGUAAUUGAAAGCUUUUUUUUCUCCACAUCCCACGACAGCAAUUACAACAAUGUAUUUUUUAUCCAUCCAUCCAUCCAUUUUCUGAGCCGCUUCACCUCACAACGGUCGCGAGCGUCCUGGAGCCUAUCCCAGCUAUCAUCGGGCAGGAGGCGGGGUACACCCUGAACUGGUUGCCAGCCAAUCGGAGGGCACAAACAAACAAACAACCAUUCGCACUCACAGUCAUACCUACGGGCAAUUUAGAGUCUUCAAUUAAUGCAUGUUUUUGGGAUGCGGGAGGAAACCGGAGUGCCUGGAGAAAACUCACGCAGGCACGGGGAGAACAUGCAAACUCCACACAGGCAGGGCCGGGGAUUGAACCCGGGCCCUCAGAACUGUGAGGCUGACGCUCUAACCAGUCGGCCACCGUGCCGCCUGUAUUUUUUAGUUUAGUUUUCUAAACUGCACAGGUUGUCCUUCAAGGAGGAGAAGUGACUGGUUUCAAGGAGAAUGACAACUACACAAGAUCCCAUUCACUGGCAACAGAAGAAUAACAUAUAGAUGUGGAUAAAACGUUGCUAGAUUUUAUGCGCAAGGUAAUAAAAACCUGGACUUUUGCGCAAACGGGAGACGAGGAGAAUUUGGAGUGUGGGAGACCCAUUUGUUCAUGCAUUUUUGUCCAAUGUAAAUUCUGUACAGUUAUACUUGUAAAUACAUUAUUUUUCUGUCAAAAGUACUUUUUCAGUGUUGUUUUAUGUUCAGAUGUUUGAGAUUUUCGAUUUUUCUGCUUG